CAUUCGAUGGAAAACUUGUAAAUUUCUUAUUUUGAUACAAAGAUUGUCUUGUCCUGACCACCGUCUUUGUAUGGUUGGUGCUGGCUUUAAACCUCGCUCUCACUCGCAUCCCUCCUUAUUAGCUUUAAUUUAAACCUCUCGUGCGGUGUUGUCGUCUCGCGUCCCCAAAUCUCUCCUCAUCUCGUUCCUCAUUCUACUUCUCUCAUCGUUCCACCCACAUUCCUCUCUCCUCCAGAGGAAUCACAAAAAACCCUAACCCCCAAAAAACCCAAACCCCCCACCGCCUAGGCUUCUUUGUGGUCGCCAUUGACGUCGACGUCGGGGAUUUGGACGUGGUCAUGGAUUUGGACGAGGUGGGGGACGUGGAUUUGGACGUGGUUGUGGGUUUAGUCGCGACUCUUCCAAUGACGAGAACUCAUUCCCUACCAGCGGAGAUCCUUAUAAUCAGGUUUCUUUUAAGGGAGAUGCUGGGAAGUCUUCUGAAAGGCGUGGUUAUGGUGGACUACGAGGUCCUUACCGUGGUGGUGGUGGUCAUCGUGGAGGUUUCAGCAAUGGUGAAAUUGGUGAAGCUGAAGAAGGACAACCUCAGAGAGCAUUUGAUCGUUGUAAUGGGAUUGGACAAAUGAAUUCAAACGUGAAGGUUCAGGACGUGGUAAUUGGGGAACCCAAACUGAUGAACUUGCUUAGGUAACUGAUAAGGUUGCAAAUGAAACUGAAAAGAAUUUGGGUGAUGAGAAGCCUACAAUCGAAGAAGAUAUAGUUGAUGUUAAAUGUGGAAGGAGAGAAAUGACACAAGUGUGUUAAUGCAAUGGAAAAAGAUGAAAAUGACAUCUUGUGGGUCUUUGGAGAGAACAUGUCAUGUGCCUUGUCCUAAGGUGUUGUUGUUCCCUUUUUUCUCAUCUCUUUCUUUUUCUCGUGCUUGUAUUUUCACUUUUUACUUAUAUAUUUAAACUAACUAUAAUAUAUACAUUAUUAUUAUUGUUUUUAUUUGGAAUGCUAGGAAGAGUUCAAAGCUUAGUGACCAGAGCUCUUAUUGUGUUACUUUGAUAAGAAAUUGAUAAGUUCUUAUAGUUCUGUGCAAUCACUACUCAUAAUUUUAAUUAAAUGUAGUCUUGUAGCAGCUAUACUUUUGCUAGACUUAUUAAUAGCCUAUUUUGCUUAUUCCUUCAAUAAUAGUGUGCUUUCAUUGAGAUUAGUGCUUGCAUUUAACUGUCAGGCUCACUCUUUUUAGGUUGGAGAUGUAGUGCUUUUUGGUAUAGAUCUUCUACUGUUUUCCAAAACUUUACCUUCUGAUUCAUGUUGCUUUCUACCUAUGUCUCCAAAUUCUUAGUGAUUUCAAAUUUGUUUUCUCUAAGAUUUUAGAAGCAGGAAAAACCAUACUUUGUCAGCAAUGUUGCUGAAAUUUUCUGACUAUUCUCAGUUGUAAUGUUUCAUUACUGAUGCAGGAGGGACAAAUUUUGUGAGUGCUAUGUCUGCAAUAUUCUCCUUGUUUUUAAUUAUAUCUACUACCUUAUAAUUAACUAUCAGGUGCGAACACUGGAUCCCAAAGCUGUCAAUGAUGAAAAUUGCACUGGAAAUACUAGUGAUGGUGGCAACAACACAUGUGUAUAUAUGAUGGUAGGUGAAGUGCAGGCUCGGAGAAGAACAAGAUGAAAGUGAGGAGGAAGCUAAGAGAGCCACGGUUUUGUUUCCAAACAAGAAAUGAUGUAGAUGUGCUUGAUGAUUGUUACAAAUGUAAGAAGUAUGGUUAGAAAGUUGUGAAGAAUAGCCUUCACCCAAGCAAAAUGAAAAGAAAGAUGACUCCAAUGAAGUGCCAAGUAGCAAUUAUACAGGGAUUGAGACAGAAAAGGAUUUUUAGGUUGACACAAUAAGCCUUAGUGAGGACUCAUCUAUACAAUAAUGUAUACUAGUGGAACUACUGGUGAAAUGACAUUAUUCAACUUUGGUUAUUCAUAGUAAGUGUUGUUUUUGUAAAUAGUUUCUUUAGUAAAGGUUAAAUGAUGACAUACUUGCAAUGAACUAUCAUGGAUCCUUUGUAAGAUAUUAGGAAACUAAGUUUGUUCCCAUAUGAAUUUGACCACUUACAAAUUCAUAUAAAAUUAAUAUUAUUUUAUAUUCGUUAA